rnacentral:tRNA from 1 species
GGAGAGAUGGCUGAGUGGACUAAAGCGGCAGAUUGCUAAUCCGUUGUACGAGUUACUUGUAUCGAGGGUUCGAAUCCCUCUCUCUCCG